rnacentral:piRNA from 2 species
AAAUUAUUUUUGAAUCAUGUAGACUUGGGU